UACGUAGGCAGCAAGCGUUGUUCGGAGUUACUGGGCGUAAAGGGUGUGUAGGCGGUUCUUUAAGUUUGGUGUGAAAUCUCCCGGCUCAACCGGGAGGGUGCGCCGAAUACUGAGGGACUAGAGUACGGGAGAGGAAAGUGGAAUUCCUGGUGUAGCGGUGAAAUGCGUAGAUAUCAGGAGGAACACCGGUGGUGUAGACGGCUUUCUGGACCGUAACUGACGCUGAAACACGAAAGCGUGGGUAGCGAACAGG
rnacentral:rRNA from 1 species